GACGAACGCUGGCGGCGUGCUUAACACAUGCAAGUCGAGCGGUAAGGCCCUUUCGGGGUACGACGAGCGGCGAACGGGUGAGUAACACGUGGGUGACCUGCCCUUAGCUCUGGGAUAAGCCUGGGAAACUAGGGUCUAAUACCGGAUAUGACCUCAUGACUCAUGUUGUGGGGUGGAAAGCCUUGUGCGGCUAGGGAUGGGCCCGCGGCCUAUCAGCUUGUUGGUGGGGUAAUUGCCUACCAAGGCGACGACGGGUAGCCGGCCUGAGAGGGCGACCGGCCACACUGGGACUGAGACACGGCCCA
rnacentral:rRNA from 1 species